CCCCAGUUCUGACUACAACUGGAAUGCAACAUCAGACUUUGAGUUUUAUUUUGAGCUUUUCAACUCCAGUUGAAAGAGAAAAAAGAAACAAAUCUCAAAGGUUAAAGGUGACUGUAUUUACAAUGUGUCUACAAUAGCACUUUUUUGUCAAAUAUGUUGAAAAAAAUCAUUAAAAGCAUGAAUGAGAAAAGCAGUUUGGGGAAUUAAAUGUUGAAAGUAAAGAUAUGAACUCAAUUCAAAAAGGUUUAGAUGGUGAACUAUGAACAUGAAUCAUUAACCAAACUGAACUGAGUUUUAAGAACUAGUUCAUGUUAAGGAUGUGUAGUGAUCCAUCUCCUGGGUUUGUUUCUUGAACAUCUUUGCUUCACAUACACAGACUGUGAGCUGACGAAGAUCUUAAUGUCAUGUCAGUCAUUUAGUCUGCGGGCGGCUCCAUUAACUAACCGCCCCCUAUAGACACAACACCAAUUAACUGGGAGAAAAACUCUCUUCAUCUGGCUCUCAGUCAGCUGGUUUACAUCCACAAAGUCCAUUUCAGACGAGUCUGCAAUUAAUGCUGCCUGCGUGUCUGCUGGUGAAAGGUCACAGAGCUCAGGAGGAGUUAAAGGAAGCUCCACCUGGAUUGUUAGAAGUUAAAGAAAAGCAGCAAAGUUUAGACAUUUGAUUCUUCAGAGGUUCAAACAUCACCAGGAGGAUUCAUCAGAGGAAAUAAAUGCUGUCCGUCAUCGAACUUCCUCCCACAUCUGUUCCAGAGGUUUUUCUUGGCUCCUCUCUUCGCCUUUCUUGUCUCAGUUGUUGCCAAUAAUAAACAAGCUCUGCAGUGGUGGCGCCGCGAUGCUGAAGUGUCUUUACAAGUCGAGUUUAACAACAACACAUUUCAGCAACAAGGCAGUUAAAGAGCUUUACACCAUAAAAAUAUAGUACAAUUAUGAAACAAGCAAUAAACUUUAGAUUUUGUUAAGUCUUCAUCAAAAUGAUGAUCGAUGCUAUGUUCUAUCCUCCUGGUUUUAGUCAGAACUCCAGCAGCACUGUUCUGGAUCUGGAAACACCUGAAAGAUAAACUCAUGGAUGAAUUUCUCUAGAUCUUGAUGGGAUAUUAAUCCUGUAAUACUGGAGAUGUUCUUCAGGUAAUAGAAGGCCAACUUUAUAACUGUCUUUAUGUGGCUCUGAAUGUUUAGAUCCAGAUUUCAGGCCUAAUCUCUAGUUUCUAGCUGAAAUAACUGAAGCUGUAUGCUGACUGUAGAUUGUUUCCUCUCAGUAACUUCAGUUUUGUUUCUGUUUGUUUCUGAGUCAUGGCUCAGCACACAUUAAUUCACAGGAACUGAAGCUUCUUGAACUCAUACUGAAUGAUGUUUUGAUUUAAACUGAUUGUUAUGAUGCUGAUGAGGAGACUUGAUUCCUUCAUCUGGUUGAGGAUCAGUGGACUAGAUCUUUACUGUUUCUGAUGGGACUGUGGGAGUUUGGUGGAGCCUUUGGGGUAUUUUUGGGAUUAUCCAGCCUUGCUAACUCAAAGCUAGCUCUGUGUGCUUGUUGGUUUCCUGCGUGGAUCAUGACCUAGAAUGAGAUCUCUCAUAGAAACAGCUUUUUGUUUGGAGAUGAAGGGAUGAAGGCUGCUAUCAGGGAUGGACGUCAGCAACUACUGUGAAAAUAUUUAAGACAGAAGAAAUGAUUCGAGCAUCUAAAGAUGGAUGUCUUGUUUCUCUGCAGGGGAAACUGACUCACUCUGCGUGAGCUAAUGAUGUCUGUUGUUGCUUCAAUAAAAAAAAAGAAAUGAGCUAAUUAACUGAAGUGAAGUUUUAAUUUGCUUCAUUCGCCCACUCUCACACUGCUACACUUUUUUUUUUUUUAGAUCAGUUUGUUGGUUGCAUAACUUCUGUACAGGCAAAUUAUUUUUACAUCGUCACGAGUUGGAGGAACAAGUUAGAUUUAAAAUAAAUGAUCAGAACUCAAUAUCUCAUUUUCACGGUUGAUUAAAUCUGCCACGUUCGGCUGGUUGGUCUCAGAGUGAAUUUAACAGCUGCUGUAAAGUCUGCUACGUUAAAUAUGUAAUCCUCACACUCUGAGAUCAUCACUCGUUCUCUGAGCCAGAGGACGUAAACCUCAGAGUCCAGACAGAAACUUGAAGAGGUGAUCUGACUGGAAACACUGGGCAGCUGCUGGGGAAGCCGACAAAGAUAAAUGAGGACCUCUACAGGUGGUGACAUGAAACUGCAGAGACUGAGAGAUUUAGUUUUAUUCAAAAAUUGCAAACAAUAUCAAUUUAGUUUUAAAUCCGUUUUUAGGUUUAAAUUCUUGAUCAUAGAAAUCCUUCUUAACUCAUCAAACAUUAAUCUGCAGUAAAUCAAUUAACUGAAAAAAAAAUCUUGAUUCAACUUGGACCUUCAUGUAUUCAGCCAAGAUGAGUUCUAUUAUCAAAAACUUCAUAAAGUUUUCAAAUAAACACAAUAACAAAGUGUCCUAAACAAACCUUUUCCAGAGCAUCUGAUUUCCUGCUUGUUUAAAUUUAAUUAGGGUUAUGCUGCCCUCCUGUGGACAAACACUGUCCUGCAGGAAAUAUUUAAAAAUUACAAAUAGAGCUGAUAGACGAACUGUCAUCAAUUAAUCCUGACCCACUGAAAGAUAAAAUAACUGAUUUUAAAGUUAGGACACUGUAAAAAUAAACAAACAAACAAAAAUAUAAAAUCUUGUAACAUUUGCAGAUCUAAAGUCUUAUUUAGCUGGACUGGAGGCAGAUAUGUCUCCUUGGACUGUAAAAGCUGAUGGACCCAAUUCAGAGGUACAACAUUUAUUCAUCUCUUCAAAAUAAGAGCCUGAAUUAUACCGGAGUAAAGUAGCUCAAGAUAUAUAGAUUUAUUGGUUCCUGGUCUGAAACUGAAUAAAAAAGCAGCAAAAGUUCAAAUAAAAUCUCACAGAUAAUCGUGAAGUCAGGAGAACUACCAAACCCGUUUAAAACAUCAGAGCUGAAUCUGAUGGUAUUUAAACAGAAAACUGAAACAAACAAAUAAAAUAUGUUAGAAAAACUAUUUCCCUCUUCAUCUUGAGGAAAUAAACCCAAAAUAAACCCAAACUGUUGAUGGAUGACCAAAAGAAAAAAAAAACUGAAAAUGAAUGAAUCAAAAUGUCAGAAAACUGACACAAAAUUCCAAAUAACGAACAAAUCUAACAGCCAACGUUACGGUUGUGAGUAAACAACCAGAAAGAAUCAGUCUGGACUCGGCGUUCAGUUUCAUUACCAGAAUAUUUAUUUUAUUCUUUUUUUUCCCUAUUAAAACACUAGCUGCCAUAUUUGAUAAAACAGCCAACGGCUAAGUCCUCCAAUCAAAUCUCCUCAGACAGGUCACAUGGGUCUGUGGGCGUGUCCUUGGCUUGUUGCUUGUGGCAUGACCAAGCUGUUGUCAUGGCGACCGACAUAACAGGAAGUCUCAUAUUGCAUCAUUCAGAGGCCGGGUCUCCUUGUUUGGGGUCAAUUUGUCUUUCUGUCGUUCUGCUGCCUUGGUGUCAUGAAUAUAUAUUCAGAAUACACACACAGGGCACAGUGGCGCCUCCUGGAGGGAGUUUAAGGGAACUGAAUGUAAAGUAAAAAAAU